rnacentral:rRNA from 1 species
UACGUAGGGACCAAGCGUUGUUCGGAUUUACUGGGCGUAAAGGGCGCGUAGGCGGCGCUGUAAGUCACUUGUGAAAUCUCUGAGCUUAACUCAGAACGGCCAAGUGAUACUGCAGUGCUAGAGUGUGGAAGGGGCAAUCGGAAUUCUUGGUGUAGCGGUGAAAUGCGUAGAUAUCAAGAGGAACACCUGAGGUGAAGACGGGUUGCUGGGCCAACACUGACGCUGACAGCGCGAAAGCCAGGGGAGCAAACGGG